rnacentral:rRNA from 1 species
AUACGGAGGGUGCAAGCGUUAAUCGGAAUUACUGGGCGUAAAGCGCGCGUAGGCGGUUUGAUCAGUCGGAUGUGAAAGCCCUGGGCUCAACCUGGGAACUGCAUUCGAUACUGUCAGACUAGAAUAUGGUAGAGGGUAGUGGAAUUCCUGGUGUAGCGGUGAAAUGCGUAGAUAUCAGGAGGAACAUCAGUGGCGAAGACGGCUACCUGGACCAAUAUUGACGCUGAGGUGCGAAAGCGUGGGGAGCAAACAGGAUUAGAAACCCUAGUAGUCC